rnacentral:rRNA from 1 species
CCUACGGGAGGCAGCAGUGGGGAAUCUUGCGCAAUGCACGAAAGUGUGACGCAGCAACGCCGCGUGGAGGAAGAAGGCUCUCGGGUCGUAAACUCCUUUCAGUUGGGACGAAGCUUCGUCGGUUAAUAGCCGGCUGGAGUGACGGUACCUUCACAAGAAGCACCGGCUAACUACGUGCCAGCAGCCGCGGUAAUACGUAGGGUGCAAGCGUUGUCCGGAAUCAUUGGGCGUAAAGAGCGUGUAGGCGGCCCGAUUAGUCCGCUGUGAAAGUCCAGGGCUCAACCCUGGAAUGCCGGUGGAUACUGUCGGGCUCGAGUCCGGAAGAGGCGAGUGGAAUUCCUGGUGUAGCGGUGAAAUGCGCAGAUAUCAGGAAGAACACCAACGGCGAAGGCAGCUCGCUGGGGCGGUACUGACGUUGAGACGCGAAAGCGUGGGGAGCAAACAGGAUUAGAUACCCUGGUAGUCCACGCCGUAAACGAUGGGUACUAGGUGUGGGGGUGUCGACUCCCCCGUGCCGAAGCUAACGCAUAAGUACCCGCCUGGGAGUACGGCCGCAGGCUAAACGUCAAAGGAAUUGACGGCGUUGAGAGNGCGAGGACGACGACGAGGGAGAGG